rnacentral:rRNA from 1 species
CCGCGGUAAUACGUAGGGGGCAAGCGUUAUCCGGAUUUAUUGGGCGUAAAGAGCGCGUAGACGGGCUGUUAAGCGCGAUGUGAAAACUGGGGGCUCAACCCGCAGCUUGCAUCGUGAACUGGCAGUCUUGAGUCUGGUAAGGAGUGUGGAAUUCCCAGUGUAUCGGUGAAAUGCGCAAUAUUGGGAGGAACACCAGUGGCAAGACGGCACUCUGGGCCACGACUACGCUGAGGCGCGAAAGCUAGGGGAGCAACAGGAUUAGAUACCCUGGUAGUCCUAGCCGUAAACGAUGGGCACUAGGUGUGGGGGGUUAUCAACUCCCUCCGUGCCGCAGCUACGCAUUAGGNCCGCU